UUAAAACACUGGUUCUUGUCUGAUCACUGCGGUUAAACAACAUCAAGCUUGAUCAAUACCUGGAUGGGUGACCACUUGGGAAUACCAGGUGAUGUAAG